rnacentral:rRNA from 1 species
GACGAACGCUGGCGGCGUGCCUAACACAUGCAAGUCGAACGGAGAUACGAUUUCGGUUGUAUCUUAGUGGCGAACGGGUGAGUAACGCGUGAGCAACCUGACUCUUAGAGGGGGAUAACACCUGGAAACAAGUGCUAAUACCGCAUAAGACCACGACCCGGCAUCGGGAUGAGGUCAAAGGAGCAAUCCGCUGAGAGAGGGGCUCGCGUCCCAUUAGAUAGAUGGCGGGGUAACGGCCCACCAUGUCAGCGAUGGGUAGCCGAGCUGAGAGGCUGAUCGGCCACACUGGAACUGAGACACGGUCCAGACUCCUACGGGAGGCAGCAGUGGGAAUAUUGGGCAAUGGGCGCAAGCCUGACCC